rnacentral:rRNA from 1 species
AGUGCACGCUGGCGGCGUGCCUAAUACAUGCAAGUCGAACGAGUGGCGCACGGGUGAGUAAUGCUUGGGAAUCUAGCUUAUGGAGGGGGAUAACUACGGGAAACUGUAGCUAAUACCGCGUACCAUAGGAUGAGCCAAAGUGGGAUUAGGUAGUUGGUGAGGUAAAGGCUCACCAAGCCGACGAUCUCUAGCUGGUCUUAGAGGAUGACCAUCCACACUGGGACUGAGACACGGCCCAGACUCCUACGGGAGGCAGCCGUGGGGAAUAUUGCGCAAUGGGGGCAACCUGACGCAGCCAUGCCGCGUGAAUGAAGAAGGCCUUCGGGUUGUAAAGUUCUUUCGGUAGCGAGGCGUUAACUACAGAAGAAGCACCGGCUAACUCCGUGCCAGCAGCCGCGGUAAUUC